AAUUUAUCAUUACAUAAUAUAUUUAAGGAGUUUUUAAAGCUACACUUCAAUUUUGUUAAAGCCACACUUCCCUCCUACCUCAUAAUCUAUUUUAUACAUGUUGUUUAGCCCUUCACUAUUCCUAGUCUUGUUCUCAAUCCCAUUUCCAACUCUUGUUCCUAUCUCCUAUUCCUAGCCAUUGUUUCCAUGUCCAUUCCCACUCAUGCUCCCAUCCCUUGUUCCCACCAUGUACCAAUUCCACUCUUAUUCCCACCCCCAUCUCCACCCCUCAUCUCCACCCCCCA
rnacentral:lncRNA from 1 species